rnacentral:rRNA from 1 species
UACGGAGGAUGCAAGCGUUAUCCGGAAUUAUUGGGCGUAAAGCGUCCGCAGGUGGCACUUCAAGUCUGCUGUCAAAGACCGGGGCUUAACCCUGGAAAGGUAGUGGAAACUGAAGCGCUAGAGUGUGGCAGGGGUAGAGGGAAUUCCCGGUGUAGCGGUGAAAUGCGUAGAGAUCGGGAAGAACAUCGGUGGCGAAAGCGCUCUACUGGGCCAUAACUGACACUCAGGGACGAAAGCUAGGGGAGCGAAUGGG